GACAGAGGGGGCGAGCGUUGCUCGGAAUCACUGGGCGUAAAGGGCGCGUAGGCGGGACGCCAAGUCGGUCGUGAAAUCUCCGGGCUCAACCCGGAGGAGUCGGCCGAAACUGGUGUUCUUGAGGGAGGCAGAGGAGUCUGGAAUUCCCGGUGUAGCGGUGAAAUGUGUAGAGAUCGGGAGGAACACCGGUGGCGAAGGCGGGACUCUGGGCCUACCCUGACGCUGAGGCGCGAAGGCGUGGGGAGCAAACGGG
rnacentral:rRNA from 1 species